UGCUGUGAUGUCGUAAUUUGCGUCUUACUCUGUACUUGGCGACAGUUGCCUGCUGUCAUCCAGCCGAGGCAGAUGGUUGAUGAGCAGCUAACUCUGAGCA